rnacentral:rRNA from 1 species
GAUGAACGCUGGCGGCGUGCCUAAUACAUGCAAGUCGAGCGAACAGACGAGGAGCUUGCUCCUCUGACGUUAGCGGCGGACAGGUGAGUAACACGUGGAUAACCUACCUAUAAGACUAGGAUAACUUCGGGAAACCGGAGCUAAUACCGGAUAAUAUAUUGAACCGCAUGGUUCAAUAGUGAAAGACGGUUUUGCUGUCACUUAUAGAUGGAUCCGCGCCGCAUUAGCUAGUUGGUAAGGUAACGGCUUACCAAGGCAACGAUGCGUAGCCGACCUGAGAGGGUGAUCGGCCACACUGGAACUGAGACACGGUCCAGACUCCUACGGGAGGCAGCAGUAGGGAAUCUUCCGCAAUGGGCGAAAGCCUGACGGAGCAACGCCGCGUGAGUGAUGAAGGUCUUCGGAUCGUAAAACUCUGUUAUUAGGGAAGAACAAAUGUGUAAGUAACUAUGCACGUCUUGACGGUACCUAAUCAGAAAGCCACGGCUAACUACGUG